rnacentral:rRNA from 1 species
UACGUAGGGCGCAAGCGUUGUCCGGAAUUACUGGGCGUAAAGCGUGCGUAGACGGUUAUGUAAGUCAGAUGUGAAAGCCCCGGGCUUAACCUGGGAAUGGCAUUUGAGACUGCAUAGCUAGGGUGCGGAAGAGGGAAGCGGAAUUUCCGGUGUAGCGGUGAAAUGCGUAGAUAUCGGAAGGAACACCAGUGGCGAAAGCGGCUUCCUGGUCCAGCACCGACGUUCAGGCACGAAAGCGUGGGGAGCAAACAGG